CUGACCAUCAUGACCUCAUGGUUUUGGGUGUGCACCUGGCUUGCAGCAGAACUGGCUGGGAUGGCUUCAUAACUUCCCUUCCAACAAUAUAACAAUAUGCUUCUGUAAAUUUUCACACUGAAUUGGACAAGAAUCAGAAUAUCCUGUUUUGAACAUCUGCACAGAUUGACAAGUGUCAAGACUGAGGAUCAGAGAAAUUAAAUAACAUGCCAAAGGUCACAGUGUCUAGUGGAGCUGGGGUCAAAUUCAGAUUAACAAAACACAUGAAAAACCCUCAACUUCUUUCAUUUGGCUGUUGAGAUAAAGGGAAAGAGAGAGUCCCCGUCCAGGCCUGCAGGAGAGGGAGAGCUGGUGGAUGUAAAUGAAAAAGCAGAGGCAUUCCUCAGGGUCUUGCUCUGUCACCCA
rnacentral:antisense_RNA from 1 species